rnacentral:miRNA from 1 species
UGUUCUGCAGGUGCCAGUCU